GACUGCAAAAAUAUUUUCCAUUUCAUGUCUCACCCGCUCCCUGCAACCUUCCUCCUCUGCUUCCCACCUCGUCUCGAAUCCAUGGCUACCGCCUCUCUCUCGGGAAGUUCAUACCUACAACUCCGCCCCUCCUUUGAAGCACGCAAAGGUUCCGAUGCCUCCAUUCCCCUCCAUGAAACCCUAAUCCCCUUAAAACCCUAAUGCUCUUCGACGCCGGAGUCGUCUUGUUCCAUAGUUUUUCCACUCCUUUCCUUCGAAUGGAACAUAAAUCCGUGCAUUCGCAGCCCUUUAUGGUCUCUCAAUGUGUCGACUUGCAUCUAGAUAAUGACUACAAGAAAGCAGGAUAAGGUGUCAACUUUUGCAAGUUUGACUCUUACAGGCAAAGUGAAGUAUAUUUAUUGAAAUUAAUUCCCUCAUUUCAUUUAUUUUAACCUGUGGAAAGAUAAAAUAGAAACUUAUCGUUGUCGAGUAUGUUAUUUGUUAUGUGAGAUUAUGUUUAUUUGAAACUUGUCUAAUACGCAUCGUCAUGUAGGUUAACAUUUUUGGUGAUAUCCUUUGUGCUGUGCUGGAAAAGCAAGGACAUGUAAACUGAAUAAUGCUUAUUCUAAGGGAAACUCAUGUCACUAAAAGUAGAUAUUUUAAUCUUUUACUUACAAUUUUUAAGUCCACAUUUUCUUUUUUGUAAUCGGCCCUGGUUGCUGAGGAUUUUUAUUAUGUUGGAGGCAAAUGACUGGUGCUUUCUUUUGGGCGAGGGGUCUGGGAGCUUGUUGGAAUACAACCUUUUGUUUCUUGUUACCUGUUCUUUGUGGGUUUUUUCUUACAUCUUUUCUUUUGAGGUUAUUCCAGGCUUGAGGGGCUGUGACAUCUCUGCUGCUGCUCUUCCCCCAUCUCUUUUUUCCUUUCUUUUUUUGUUUCCUUUCUAUCAUUUCUUUUUCUUAACGAAAUAUUGAUGACAACAUCACCAAGUCCACAUGGGAGAGGUCCUGAGUUAAAUUUCAGCUGCUAGUAUGGUUGCAAUAUUCUUCUGAGAAAAAAGGGGGAAGGAAAAAACCUUCAACAGCAGCAAAGUUUGAUUUGGAGCUGAAAUCUCCUACAGGGAAAGAGCAAAAGCAGCAACUCAGGAGCAGCAAGAUGCUAUUCUUUGUUGCAGUAUUCUAAGGAGUACUCAAGGAGUGGCAAUUGACUGAGGUGGCGAACAAUCAGAAAUACAACAACAUCGAGCCUAAUACACCGGAUUAUGUGGACUACUGUGAUGCAAUUAUAUCUUUCUAAGUUCGGUUUGGAGGCUCCUGCAUGCCGAGAACUGCACAAUCUAACACGAACAGCUCCAUGUGCAUUGUGCCUUCCUUGAUGCCCACGCAGACAUGAAUCUGAUAGGCUGUUGGGUCUAAUCAAUGGCACCUUAUGGCAUGCAUUGAGAGAGCUUCAGUUUAGGUCACAAUUGGCCCACGGACAGCCAUGUUAGAGAUGCUUUAUUACAAGGUCAUUCAUCUCCAACUAAGUCAAACCUCCAGCAGCAGUUUUGACUCGAUCCUUCAGCUUAGUUCCAUAAGUUGAGACUUUUGGGCUGGUGUCUGCCUUCACCGAGACACUUGUUUUCAAGCACAAGUUUCCAACCCAUCAAUGUCCCGCUCCUGCGUACUUAUCGUUACAGCUAACAUAUGGUUCAGCUCAGUCCUAAGAUCUCAAAGACUGUUAUUUGUUAAGCAAAGCAUGUGUCAUGCUGGGUCAUGGGGAGGAACUUAUGAAGUUAAAAACCUCAAUGCUUGGAGCUAUACUAAUUAUUAAUGUAGUUCAAUGGAAGCCAGCUAGCACUUCAUAUUCCAUGGCUUUUAUUCUUUUUGCCUGAAGUCCAACUUUGUCAGAUUUGAGUUAAGCUGGUAAGUGUCAAACAAUACGAGCAGGUAGAUCUAGGCUUAGCUUUUUGUCAAUCUACAAGGAAAUGCUUUUUAUCUAUAAUAAUAUAUAAACAUUAACAGCUUCAGGUCUCCAA